GACGAACGCUGGCGGCGUGCUUAACACAUGCCAGUCGAACGGGAUUUAGUAAACAGAAGCCUCGGUGGAAGAUUACUAAUGAGAGUGGCGAACGGGUGAGUAACGCGUGAGCAACCUGCCUAUGACAGUGGGAUAGCCUCGGGAAACCGGGAUUAAUACCGCAUAAAAUCGUAGAAACACAUGUUUUAACGGUCAAAGAUUUAUCGGUCAUAGAUGGGCUCGCGUCUGAUUAGCUAGUUGGUGAGAUAACAGCCCACCAAGGCGACGAUCAGUAGCCGGUCUGAGAGGAUGAACGGCCACAUUGGAACUGAGACACGGUCCAAACUCCUACGGGAGGCAGCAGUGGGGAAUAUUGCACAAUGGGGGAAACCCUGAUGCAGCGACGCCGCGUGAACGAAGAAGGUAUUCGUAUCGUAAAGUUCUGUCCUAUGGGAAGAUAAUGACAGUACCAUAGAAGAAAGCUCCGGCUAAAUACGUG
rnacentral:rRNA from 1 species